UACAGAGGGUGCAAGCGUUAAUCGGAAUUACUGGGCGUAAAGCGUGCGUAGACGGUUAUUUAAGUCGGGUGUGAAAGCCCCGGGCUCAACCUGGGAAUUGCAUUCGAGACUGAAUAGCUAGGGUGCGGAAGAGGGAAGCGGAAUUUCCGGUGUAGCGGUGAAAUGCGUAGAUAUCGGAGGGAACACCAGUGGCGAAAGCGGCUUCCUGGUCCAGCACCGACGUUCAGGCACGAAAGCUAGGGUAGCAAACGGG
rnacentral:rRNA from 1 species